CAAUUAGUGGACCACACGGUGUGACUAUACAUUGAGAAAGAGCAAUGGAUGAAGGCAAUGGAUGACAGGUGUAAAGGCAGGAAGCAGUGCUCAAGCUCAAUGUCCUGCAGGACCGUUGUCACCACUCUCAGUCAGCACAAGCCAUCACAGAAUGAAAACUCUGCCAUUGCAAACCUCUACAACAGCAGCACCCUGACACAGAAAAUGUGAUUUGUUCCUGUAUGAAGAAUAAUACAACUGCAGGCCCAGCCUGUUUAAUAAAAG
rnacentral:lncRNA from 1 species